UCCCUCCGGCCACACCGCCGGGAAGGGCUUGGAAUUUAAUCCUCCGCAUUCCAUUCUGGGUUCCUGUGACAUAAUAAGGCCCAAGGAGGGAUCUCGAGUGACUGGUCAGCAGAAGCCUCAGCGGGAUUUUCUAUAGAUAGCCAGGGCGUGUCUCGGGCUCGGUCCUUUCUGCGGGAGGAAAGUGCUUCCCCGCCGGGCUGGGCAGCGCCCUGUGCGGCAGAGGACUGAAAGCAGGGUCUGCCUGGAAGAAUAUCCCCCUCCUGCCCCACCAGGAGAGGAAGAGGAGUUCCUCAAACUCGAAAGACGGGGUCCAUGCAGGUCCCAUUUUCCCCUAAAAUCUGUUAUCGUGCUACUUUGUCCCUGGCAUCGAGAAGGGCUUCUUGGUAGAUGUAAACAGAGCGCCUGCCUAUUCCAAACGAGCAGCAUUCCAGUCAAGAGGAAGAGUCUCAGAGGCAACUGGAGUGGGAAAGGGGCUGCAGAAAAUGGAUUCCCCUCUUUUUAGUGACCCAUUGUUUGUGAUUGACACCAUUAUACACCCCAGAAGGUCAAGUACGGACUUUACAUGAAAUUAUUCCAAAAACAUACCAAUAUAAAAGAUGCUACAUAAAAUAGCCACUGGACACUCUAAGAUUGUAAUCACUAAAGAGGCUGAAUCUUUGCUUGGUCUGCU